rfam:Triticum aestivum genome assembly, contig: Triticum_aestivum_CS42_TGACv1_scaffold_406133_5BL
CAUGUACUCCCUCCGUCCCAAAAAGCUUGUCUUACAUUUGUCCAGAUACGGAUGUAUUUGAACAUGUUUUAGUGUUAGAUACAUCCGUAUCUAGACAAAUCUAAGACAAGCUUUUUGUUAGAUACAUCUGUAUCUAGACAAAUCUAAGACAAGCUUUUUAGGACGGAGGUAAUAUAUG